UCCUUCCAGGAGGUUCUAGGGGUGAGUCCGUCUUCCGGGAAGCAUCCACGUCCCCCGGCAUGCGGCCCCUUCCUCCACCUUCACGGCCAGCAGCAUCUGGCGGAGUCCCUUGCAUGCUGGCCCCUCUCUGGUCCCCUCCUGCCUCUUCCACUCCUCAGGACCCCCGUGCUUCCGGCGACCCACCAGACACCCCAGGGUCACCUCCCCACGUCGGGGUCAGCUGAUUCCACUCCUCCUCAGCCGUGGGGUCCCGGCCCCCGAGGCAGCGGCAGAACCAGACUGGGGCUGGAGAGGAGGGUUGCCGGCGGCCGGUCCUCAAGCCUCCGCUGGCACAGAGAUGCUAUCGGGCCAGCUCCUCAUCCAGGAGCCCAGCAAAGAAAAGCAAGAUGGGGACCAGCGUCUGAAAAGGUCUAUGCACAGAGAACAAAGGCGCGAGGGGGCGUUUGAACCCCCCAAAGCCUGUCCCUUCCUCUGCACAGUCAGGGCAAACCUGACACUUACGUAUGUUCCGACCCCCCUCUCACCUCCACACCCACGUGCGGAGGACGCGACCGGCCAUCCCAGCACAGCAGACCCGGGCUGCGGGGCUCCGCCUUUGCACCGAUGACGGCGUUCGCCCUCGUCACUGAUGGGUGCCCUCACCGAUGAGAGCCUCAGCCUCCUCAUCUCAUCUGAAGACUGGGGUAAUAAUAACCCCCACGCACACGCACGGGCACGCACGUGUGCAUGCCUCACCCCUCCCGCCUCGCUUCCCUGGCUCGUUGCGCUCUGCCUGCAAGUGCGGGCGGGACACGCGCGCCCCUUCUCUGCACCCCUCCCCCCACGUGUGCAUCUGAAACGGAGCCACUCAGCCCUCAGGGGUGCCUGGUGGUCUUGCGUCUCUGAUUCCGCACGAGGCCGCCCUCUCCGCCAGGUAAGCCCACGCGGGGCAGGACCCUGAGCGAGCCCCUCGGUGGACUCUGAGGUCCAGUAAGGUCAGGAACCCUGUGCCUCCGGCUCACCUCCCUACACUCAGGCCCGAGGCCUGGAACGUAGUACGUAGGCUUUUAGUCACGAGCCCAUGAAUCAACUGUCACCCUCCAUGGCAUGCCUGCAAAACUUACACUCUCGUCCCACGGGGAGGGAGCAGCUGACGAGCCCCCUCCCCCCCCGAUUCCAGCGAGGACAGCCCGCUGACCACCGGGCGGCCAGCUCUGAGUCCGUUGGCCCUGAGUCCUUUUAGGGAAUGACUCACGCAGGCGGGGACAUGGGCGCUCAAGACGGGGCCAGGGACAACGACAUGUGUCCCCGCUCUGCCCCAGACCUGCUGCGGGGCCCUGACCACAGGGCCUCACACCUGCUUCCGUGGGAGCUUGAGUGCUAGGAGGGGUGGCUGGGCUCACCGGGCACGACCCUGGACCUCCUCGGCCAGGUCACAGCCGCCAGCAAGCGAUGGGAAAGCAGGUUUUGACAAAAGGCUCCAGAAAAGCGUCCUAAGCGCCACACCGGGUCUGCACCGCGGUCCAGAGGCCAAGCCCCAAGGAGGAAGAGCGUCCUGGCCUCAGGGCUGCACUUGGUCUCACCCGAAUUACCCAGGGGCCUGCACGUCUGACCACAGAUGGGACUCCCGCUCUCCAGCAUCAUCGCGGCCUGACCUUGCGCCGGGGAAGCAGUGUCCUCGAGCACGACUUUGACCCUACAGACCGCAGUCCUGGUCACGGAGUGCACGGGAGCACCGGACCCCGUGGGGCAGCCUGCGAGCGCGUCAUUAUCAUGUGGUGUCCGGCCGCCCGAGCAACCUCGUUCUGCUUGCAUUCCGGUCCCCGACACCAGGCCCGGCCCUCUGUUUGCCCCCCGGCCUCUUCCCACAAACGACUCACGUACAGCCCUGAGCAGUGAGUACCCUGGGGCCCGGGACCUUCCGUGCGGGACUGUACCCUCGUCACACACAGCAUCAUCAGCUGGCAGGUAGGAAGGCGGCAGGCCAUGCCCAGAACGGCCCACAGAACCUCCACCAUGCUCCACGCACCGGCUGGGCUCAGGCCCACGGGCGUCCGUCUAACAGGACACAGGAUUCCCUCCACCGCAGUGGCCAUUCCCAAGCUGCGUUCACGCCCCCCAGGAGGCGCACAGACCGCCUGCUCCCUGCACUGUGGGGCACCUCCUCACCAGGGGAAGAAGGCACCCAAGUGGUCCGCCCCACGAGAGCCCGUCCCUAAAUUCCCAGCUAACCGCCGUUCCCCCUCCAGCAGCCUUCCUGGGAGGCCGGCUUCUGCACACCGCCAGAAACUGGUUCCCAUGGCAGGCAGCCAUUCUUAAAUUAGCCGGAACGAGGCAUGGAGGGGAAGGAGGUUAGGAGAGACGGCUGAUGGCGUCACCGAAUCAGAGGGGGCCUCUUUGCCGCUUCCACCUGCUGCAAGCCUCCCCCCAUCUCCCCCACCAACCCCCGGCCCGCCACCGAUGUUCCCUCCUCCGAUCUGGACUCUGGGGCGUUUGCAAGCCCAGAGGUGGGGCCUGGGGAUGCUGGGCCUAGGAACGGACAGGGCGGCCCAUGGGGCGGCGGAGAUGCCAAGUCCCGGGAAAAGAAAAGGCAUUUCUAAGAGACAAAAGCAAAACUGUCAGCAGAAUGAAUACAAAGUUUCCAGAUCAGGGUCACUUUUCUUGCUCUGAAUUCCCCACAGGGGUCCCGAAAAGCCGUAUGAAGGAGGUGAAGACUCGGGGUUGGCCGUUUGCAGUAUUUAUUACGGAAAGGGGACGUCCGUGAAAGGUCGCACCGUUCACACUGGCACAAAAUAUGCAGCAGGCUCCCCGAGGCCAUGGAUCCCUCCUCCCACGCGGGCGGGAGCUGCCAGGACCACAAGCAGGCUGAGAGCCAGAAUACCGAGGCGCCUGAGCACGGGCUCCUAGGAGGCACGACGAGGGCCGGGGCAGCUGGGGUGCGGCCCAGGUGUGUGAGGAGGUGACCCUGGGCCCACAGCCCGUGUGGCAGUCGUCGUAAUGAGCAGCGGUGUGUCCUGGUCAGCCCUUGCAAGCACUUACUGUGCAUUCACUAACUCACUCGUCCCAAGCACCCAGCAACGGAGCAACGUCAUAACCCACUGUACAAAUGAGGGCCCGCGGCUCAGAGAGGUCAAGCAACCUGCACGGCAUCACACAGCUGGUCAGCCCGGGUGAGGAAUCCAAGCCUGUCGUACAGCAGAGCACUUACCCUCCGUUCGCUGCCGACACUGGACGUCGCCCUGCAGACUCAGGGCAGGUGUCACCGAUCUGGCCUCUGGGAACCCCUCGUAUGCACCAUGGCAAAUGCAUGACAGCCAUGCUCGGCCUUCCUCCGACGACCAAACCGAUGGUCGUGGUGUCAGUCAGGAGGACCGUGGUAGACGGUCACCAUCCAGAGGGCAAACGCAUCCCGAAGGGACAACCCCGGGCCGGAGCUGAGGUGAGAGACUUAGUUCUGCUCCCCACCCCAGCUCUGCGGGGACCGGGCUGGGCAGCCACGGAAAGGUCCCUUAACCUGUCCUGUGCUCCAGUUCUGCAAACACUAUCGGGAGGCAGAGGUGGGGACAG